rnacentral:RNase_P_RNA from 1 species
UCGGUCGUCCGGGCAGUCGCGGUGCCUUCGGGCACGGAGGAAAGUCCGGUCUCCGCAGGGCAGCGUGCCGGUUAACGGCCGGGAGGCGUUCUCGCAAGGGGGCGUUGACGGAAAGUGCCACAGAAAACAUACCGCCCCGGACUCCGGGGCAAGGGUGAAAUGGUGCGGUAAGAGCGCACCGCGUCGCGGGCAACCGCGACGGCAGGGUAAACCCCACGCGGAGCAAGACCAAAUAGGGGACGACGCGGCUGCCCGUCGCGCCUGAGUCCCGGGUAGGUCGCUAGAGGCGUUUGGCAACAAGCGUUCGAGAUGAAUGGCUGCCACCCGUUUCCGGACGGGUACAGAAACCGGCUUACAGGGCGUCCGGCCCG